CAGCCGCCGCGGUAAUACGUAGGGUGCGAGCGUUAAUCGGAUUUACUGGGCGUAAAGCGUGCGCAGGCGGCCCGUUAAGACAGGUGUGAAAUCCCUGGGCUCAACCUAGGAAUUGCGCUUGUGACUGGCGGGCUCGAGUACGGUAGAGGGGGGUGGAAUUCCUGGUGUAGCAGUGAAAUGCGUAGAGAUCAGGAGGAACACCGAUGGCGAAGGCAGCCCCCUGGGCCUGUACUGACGCUCAUGCACGAAAGCGUGGUGAGCAAACAGGAUUAGAUACCCUGGUAGUCCACGCCCUAAACGAUGGGUACUAGCCGUUUGGUGCGCGAUAGCGCUGAGUGGCGAAGCUAACGCGUGAAGUACCCCGCCUGGGGAGUACGGCCGCAAGGUUGAAACUUAAAGGAAUUGGCGGG
rnacentral:rRNA from 1 species